UACAGAGGUCUCAAGCGUUGUUCGGAUUCAUUGGGCGUAAAGGGUGCGUAGGCGGAUUAGAAAGUCCGUUGUGAAAUCUCUGAGCUUAACUCGGAAAUUGCGGUGGAUACUAUUAAUCUUGAAUACUGUGGAGGUUAGCGGAAUAUGUCAUGUAGCGGUGAAAUGCAUAGAUAUGACAUAGAACACCAAUUGCGAAGGCAGCUGGCUACACAGAUAUUGACGCUGAGGCACGAAAGCGUGGGGAUCAAACAGG
rnacentral:rRNA from 1 species